AAGGAGACGGAGGAGGAAGACCCACUGGUGACUACCGCCACCGUCGACAUCUGCCUGGGGCAGCUAAGCAGCAAACAAGCUCUUGCACUUCUUUCUUCUACCAGAGUUCUCACACUCCCCUCUCCCAUCGUUCAGGAAAAAAUUUUCUUUGUCUAGAAGAUGCACCAUCAAAAUCACCUCAGAGGAAGCUGCUUGCAUCAAUAUUUUGUAGCAACUCUGGCUGAGGAUUUAAUAGAAAAUUCAGUUCAUAGAGGAAAUGGUGGUGAUAGGUCUCACAGCAUUACAUACAAGCAUGGUUUGGCUCAUCUUACUCAUAAUAUACCAAGUAAAAGUGGGUUCACAAUUGAUGAGGGAUUUCAAGUCCAGCCAUUAAGGAUGAUUGAGUACUUGUUCAUUUGUCAAAUAGAGAAAACAAUUGCUUUAUUUUUAUUACAUCAUAUUUUUAGGAAUGACAAUUUUGUUGGGAAAAUAGAUCUUGUAAUAGGUUUUAUUUUUUAUUUUUUUUGGUAUAAGUAAUAGUAUUUGUUAAAAACUUUGUAUUGUUGAGUCGAUCUUGUUGUAUUCAUGAUCGAGUUGCUAAUUUUGU